rnacentral:sRNA from 1 species
CCUGCCUCCGCCAGAAGCCUGCCAAUGUCCUCAAUGAUGCCCAGACCAAGCUCCUGGCCGUGAGUGGCCCUUUCCACUACUGGGGUCCUGUGAUCGAUGGCCAGUUCCUCCGUGAGCCUCCAGCCAGAGCACUGAAGAGGUCUUUAUGGUUAGAGGUCGAUCUGCUCAUUGGGAGUUCUCAGGACGACGGGCUCAUCAACAGAGCAAAGGCUGUGAAGCAAUUUGAGGAAAGUCAAGGCCGGACCAGUAGCAAAACAGCCUUUUACCAGGCGCUGCAGAAUUCCCUGGGUGGCGAGGACUCAGAUGCCCGCGUCGAGGCUGCUGCUACAUGGUAUUACUCUCUGGAGCACUCCACGGAUGACUACGCCUCCUUCUCCCGGGCUCUGGAGAAUGCCACCCGGUAAGCUAAGCUGCAGGAGGGUGCAGAUUCCUACUGCUAUGUUUUGGAGUGGACCCAGUUGAUGU